UGAGGAGAUAAGUGACAUAAACUGGCAUGUUCUGAAAGAAUCACUCUGGAUGCUGUGUGGAGAAAACACUGAAAAGGGGGAGAAUAAUUGACUCCAUUCAAGUGUUCGCUCCUGUUUCAAUCAACUAUGGCUGAAGAGUGAGGAGACAUUUGGAAUAAAUAUGGCUUCUGGGGGCCCAUUCCUAUGGAUCAGCAGCUGGCUUCUGGAGGCCCAUUCCUGUGAAUCGUCGAUCUCAUAGAAGAUAAUAUUGUUAGAAGGCUUACCUCAUUGAUGCUGAACAUCCUAAAAAGCUUCUGCUGCUUUGAGUCACUGAAAAAGACCAAGAAACAUGAAUUUAAAAAAAAAUUUCAAAUGUUAUAAAAUAAAUAAUAUGAACUCAUUAUACCUACAAUGAAUAAUUUAAAUUCUUCUUUGGUAGUCCAGCAUAGGUUUAGAAACUAUGAAAACCCUAGAAGAAAACCUAGGCAAUGCCAUUCAGGACAUAGGCACGGACAAAGAUUUCAUGACGAAGACGCCAAAAACAACUGCAACAAAAGCAAAAAUUGACAGAUGGGAUCUCAUUAAACUAAAGAGCUUCCAUACAGCAAAAGAAGCUACCAUGAGAGUGAACAGACAACCUAUAGAAAGGGAGAAAAAUUUUGCAAUCUGUUCAUCUGACAAAGGUCUAAUAUCCAGCAUCUACAAGGAACUUAAAUAAAUUUACAAGAAAAAAACAAACCCAUUAGAAAAUGGGCAAAGGACAUGAAAAGAUACUUCUCAAAAGACAUACAUGUGGCCAACAAUCAUACAAAAAAAACCUCAACAUCACUGAUGAUUAGAAAAAUGCUAAUCAAAACCACAACGAGAUACCAUCUCAUACCUGUCAGA
rnacentral:lncRNA from 1 species